GACGAACGCUGGCGGCGUGCUUAACACAUGCAAGUCGAACGGAAAGGCCUUUUCGGAGGUACUCGAGUGGCGAACGGGUGAGUAACACGUGGGUGAUCUGCCCUGCACUCUGGGAUAAGCCUGGGAAACUGGGUCUAAUACCGGAUAGGACCGCACUUUAGUGUGUGUGGUGGAAAGUUUUUUCGGUGUAGGAUGGGCUCGCGGCCUAUCAGCUCGUUGGUGGGGUUAUGGCGUACCAAGGCGGCCCCGGGUAGCCGGACUGAGAGGUUGGUCGGCCACAUUGAGACUGAGAGACGGCACAGACGCCUACGAGAGGCAGCAGUGGGGAAUAUUGCACAAUGGGCGCAGGCCGGAUGCAGCGGCGCCGCGGGGUGGAUGACGGCCUUGGGGUUGUAGACACCUUGCACGAGAGACGAAGCGUGUUGUGACGGUACCUGAAGAAGAAGCAUCGGCUAACUACGUG
rnacentral:rRNA from 1 species